AAGGCUUUAGCUUAAUAAAAGUGUCUGGUUUGCACUCAGAUGAUGUGGGUUAAUGUCCUGCAAGUCUUA
rnacentral:tRNA from 1 species